rnacentral:rRNA from 1 species
GAACGAACGUUGGCGGCGUGGAUUAGGCAUGCAAGUCGCGGGAAUCCCAGCAAUGGGGGAACCGGCGUAAGGGGCAGUAAGGCGUGGGUACCUACCCUGGGGUCCGGGAUAGCCGUCCGAGAGGGCGGGUAAUACCGGAUGACCUCGGGAGAGCAAAGCUCCGGCGCCCUGGGAGGGGCCCACGUGAUAUUAGCUGGUUGGUGAGGUGACGGCUCACCAAGGCGGAGAUGUCUAGCGGGUGUGAGAGCACGACCCGCGCCACUCGCACUGAGACACUGGCGAGACACCUACGGGUGGCUGCAGUCGAGGAUCUUCGGCAAUGCGCGCAAGCGCGACCGAGCGACGCCGCGUGGGCGAUGAAGGCCUUCGGGUUGUAAAGCCCUGUCGAGGGGGAGAAAAGGGUAAAACUUUGAUCUAUCCCUGGAGGAAGCUCGGGCUAAGUUCGUGCCAGCAGCCGCGGUAAGACGAACCGAGCGAACGUUGUUCGGAAUCACUGGGCUUAAAGGGCGCGUAGGCGGGCUGCCAAGUUUGGGGUGAAAUCCUCCGGCUCAACCGGGGAAGUGCCUUGAAUACUGGCGGUCUGGAGGGAGGUAGGGGCGUGCGGAACUAACGGUGGAGCGGUGAAAUGCGUUGAUAUCGUUAGGAACUCCGGUGGCGAAGGCGGCACGCUGGACCUUUUCUGACGCUGAGGCGCGAAAGCCAGGGGAGCGAACGGGAUUAGAUACCCCGGUAGUCCUGGCCCUAAACGUUGAGAACUAGGUAGUAGGCCGGACAUGGGCUUACUGCCGGAGCAAAAGUGCUAAGUUCUCCGCCUGGGGGAGUAUGGUCGCAGGGCUG